rfam:Vigna angularis cultivar Jingnong 6 scaffold88_15, whole genome shotgun sequence.
CCUGGACAGAAAACUCCAUAAAAUUUUACUAUUUUCUUGUAUGGGUUUUGAAUUUUUUAUGUACGGCUUAGAUGGAGGAUAAAGAAGGUUUUCUUUUCUGGGAGAGCCAAAUUCAUCAAUGAAAUAUUAUUCUCAAAGAGUUAGAAUUAGAAUUCUAACCUUGUGUAAGAAUUUAUGGGUCAGGAUAUAGUCUCAAGUAGACAAUUUCUAUGGGCCAUAGGUCUCCCUAAAUGUAAUAGAGACGUGUAAAGGUUUCCUCAUGCUAGACGAAGAUCGGCCCUUAAGUGUAUAGGCAGUAGGGAGCUUAACUGUAAAACCACCCAUUUCGAAUGGGAGGGUCAUCGAACAACAGAUAAAAGUUACUCUAAAGAUAAUAGGUUGAUCUUUCUAAAGAGCUAACAUCGACAGAAAGGCUUGACACCUCGAUGUCGGGGAUUCAUAUCCUUCCUCGCCCAUAACCAGCCAAAAAAAGGAAGGAUUUUUCCUCCUGGGGGUAGGAAAAUCAUGAUCAGG